rnacentral:rRNA from 1 species
GACGAACGCUGGCGGCGUGCUUAACACAUGCAAGUCGAACGGAAAGGCCCUGCUUUUGUGGGGUGCUCGAGUGGCGAACGGGUGAGUAACACGUGAGUAACCUGCCCUUGACUUUGGGAUAACUUCAGGAAACUGGGGCUAAUACCGGAUAGGAGCUCCUGCUGCAUGGUGGGGGUUGGAAAGUUUCGGCGGUUGGGGAUGGACUCGCGGCUUAUCAGCUUGUUGGUGGGGUAGUGGCUUACCAAGGCUUUGACGGGUAGCCGGCCUGAGAGGGUGACCGGCCACAUUGGGACUGAGAGACGGCCCAGACUCCUACGGAAGGCAGCAGUGGGGAAUAUUGCACGAUGGGCGGAAGCCUGAUGCAGCAACGCCGCGUGCGGGAUGACGGCCUUCGGGUUGUAAGCCGCUUUCGCCUGUGACGAAGCGUGAGUGACGGUAAUGGGUAAAGAAGCACCGGCUAACUACGUG